AUACGUAGGGGGCAAGCGUUAUCCGGGUUUACUGGGUGUAAAGGGAGCGUAGACGGUGUGACAAGUCUGAUGUGAAAACCCGGGGCUCAACUCCGGGAUUGCAUUGGAAACUGCCAUACUUGAGUGCAGGAGGGGUAAGCGGAAUUCCUAGUGGAGCGGUGAAAUGCGUGAAUAUUAGGAGGAACACCGGCGGCGAAGGCGGCUUACUGGACUGUAACUGACGUUGAGGCUCGAAAGCGUGGGGAGCAAACAGGAUUAGAUCCCCUGGUAGUCCACGCGGUAAACGAUGAAUACAAGGUGUUGGGGGUCUAUAGACACUCGGUGCCGCAGCAAACGCAAUAAGUAUUCCACCUGGGGAGUACGUUCGCAAGAAUGAAACUCAAAGGAAUUGACGGGG
rnacentral:rRNA from 1 species